UACGGAGGGUGCAAACGUUGCUCGGAAUCAUUGGGCGUAAAGCGCACGUAGGCGGUUUGUUAAGUCGGAUGUGAAAUCCCUCGGCUCAACUGAGGAAGUGCAUCCGAAACUGGCAGGCUUGAGUACUAAAGAGGGUCGCGGAAUUCCCGGUGUAGAGGUGAAAUUCGUAGAUAUCGGGAGGAACACCGGUGGCGAAGGCGGCGACCUGGGUAGAUACUGACGCUGAGGUGCGAAAGCGUGGGGAGCAAACAGG
rnacentral:rRNA from 1 species